rnacentral:lncRNA from 14 species
AUGCUGAGCUAUCAGAAACAUUGUCUCUGCUGCUUCCACCAACAGUAGUGAAAGAUUCAGCCAGAGCACAUUUCUCUGUGAUGGGUGAUAUCUUGAGUUCAGCCAUAAAAAACACACAAAAUCUUAUCCAAAUGCCCUAUGGCUGUGGGGAGCAGAACAUGGUCCUUUUUGCUCCGAGCAUCUAUGUACUGAAAUAUCUGAAUGAAACCCAACAGCUGACAGAGAAGAUCAAGUCCAAGGCCCUUGGCUACCUCAGAGCUGGUUAUCAGAGGGAACUGAACUACAAACACAAGGAUGGCUCCUACAGUGCCUUUGGGGAUCACGAUGGCAAGGGUCAAGGAAACACUUGGCUCACAGCCUUUGUGCUCAAGUCUUUUUCCCAAGCUCAAGCCUUCAUCUUCAUUGACGAAUCACACAUCACCGAUGCCUUCACCUGGCUCUCCCAUCAGCAGAAGGACAGUGGCUGCUUCAGGAGCUCUGGAUCACUGUUCAACAACGCCAUGAAGGGGGGAGUUGAUGAUGAAAUCACCCUCUCUGCCUAUAUAACUGUGGCCCUUUUGGAAAGUUUACCCCCAGACACUGAGCAUCCUGUUGUCUCCAAAGCCCUGAGCUGCCUAGAGUCAUCUUGGGAGAACAUAGAGCAAGGAGGAAAUGGCAGCUUCGUGUACACCAAGGCACUGAUGGCCUAUGCUUUUGCUCUGGCGGGGAAUCAGGAGAAGAGAAACGAAAUCCUGAAAUCCCUUGAUAAGGAAGCUAUAAAGGAAGACAACUCCAUUCACUGGGAAAGACCUCAGAAACCCAUGAAAUCAGCGCGUUCUCUGUACAAACCCCAAGCUUCCUCUGCUGAAGUAGAGAUGAAUGCCUAUGUCAUCUUAGCUCGCCUCACUGCCCAGUCAGCCCCAUCCCCUAAGGACCUGGCUUUGUCAAUGGGCACCAUCAAGUGGCUCACAAAGCAGCAGAAUUCCCGUGGUGGCUUCUCCUCCACACAGGUCGGUGGUUUUUCUUCAGAGUCCACAUGGGGUUAGGGGAUUUGCUAGAGACAUAGGAACCAUAAAAAAGGGAAGAGAAGAGAAGAAGAAGGAAAUGUUACUCUUGGAUAUUUUGUGUCUGUAGGAAGUGUGGGAUGAUAGAAUCCUAUAAUCCAGGAUU